rnacentral:rRNA from 1 species
AGUGAAUAGAUACCCGGGUAGUCCACGCCCUAAACGAUGUCUACUAGUUGUCGGGGAUUCAUUUCCUUGGUAAACGCAGCUAAACGCGUGAAGUAGACCGCCUGGGGAGUACGGCCGCAAGGUUAAAACUCAAAGGAAUUGACGGGGACCCGCACAAGCGGUGGAUGAUGUGGAUUAAUUCGAUGCAACGCGAAAAACCUUACCUACGCUUGACAUGCCAGGAACUUUCCAGAGAUGGAUUGGUGCCCGAAAGGGAACCUGGACACAGGUGCUGCAUGGCUGUCGUCAGCUCGUGUCGUGAGAUGUUGGGUUAAGUCCCGCAACGAGCGCAACCCUUAUCCUUAGUUGCUACGCAAGGGCACUCUAGGGAGACUGCCGGUGACAAACCGGAGGAAGGUGGGGAUGACGUCAAGUCCUCAUGGCCCUUAUGUGUAGGGCUUCACACGUCAUACAAUGGUCGGUACAGAGGGUCGCCAACCCGCGAGGGGUAGCCAAUCCCAGAAAACCCGAUCGUAGUCCGGAUUGCAGUCUGCAACUCGACUGC